rnacentral:rRNA from 1 species
AAUCAACGCUGGCGGCGUGCCUAACACAUGCAAGUCGAACGCGAAAGGGGAGCAAUCCCUGAUUAGAGUGGCAAACGGGUGAGUAACACGUGGGUGACCUGCCUUCGAGUGGGGGAUAACCUUCCGAAAGGAGGGCUAAUACCGCAUGACAUACCGUGUUUGGAUACACGGAUAUCAAAGCCGGGGAUCGCAAGACCUGGCGCUUGGAGAGGGGCCCGCGUCCGAUUAGCUAGNGGUGAGGUAACGGCUCACCAAGGCUCCGAUCGGUAUCCGGCCUGAGAGGGCGGACGGACACACUGGAACUGAGACACGGUCCAGACUCCUACGGGAGGCAGCAGUGGGGAAUAUUGCGCAAUGGGCGAAAGCCUGACGCAGCGACGCCGCGGUGGGGGAUGAAGGUCUUCGGAUUGUAAACCCCUGUCGACUGGGACGAAUGUAGAACGGCCUAAUACGCCGAGCUAUUGACUGUACCGGUGGAGGAAGCC